rnacentral:rRNA from 1 species
UACAGAGGGGGCAAGCGUUGUUCGGAAUUACUGGGCGUAAAGGGCGCGUAGGCGGCCUUCUAAGUCGAACGUGAAAUCCCCGGGCUCAACCCGGGAACUGCGUCCGAUACUGGAAGGCUUGAAUCCGGGAGAGGGAUGCGGAAUUCCAGGUGUAGCGGUGAAAUGCGUAGAUAUCAGGAGGAACACCAACGGCGAAGGCAGCACUCUGGGCCGGUACUGACGCUGAGGAGCGAAAGCGUGGGGAGCGAACAGG